AACGAACGCUGGCGGCAUGCCUAACACAUGCAAGUCGAACGAGACCUUCGGGUAUAGUGGCGCACGGGUGCGUAACGCGUGGGAACCUGCCCUUAGGUUCGGAAUAACUCCCCGAAAGGGGUGCUAAUACCGGAUAAUGUCUUCGGACCAAAGAUUUAUCGCCUUUGGAUGGGCCCGCGUUGGAUUAGCUAGUUGGUAGGGUAAAAGCCUACCAAGGCGACGAUCCAUAGCUGGUCUGAGAGGAUGAUCAGCCACACUGGGAUUGAGACACGGCCCAGACUCCUACGGGAGGCAGCAGUGGGGAAUAUUGGACAAUGGGCGAAAGCCUGAUCCAGCAAUGCCGCGUGAGUGAUGAAGGCCUUAGGGUUGUAAAGCUCUUUUACCCGGGAUGAUAAUGACAGUACCGGGAGAAUAAGCUCCGGCUAACUCCGUG
rnacentral:rRNA from 1 species